GACUCCCGGCAAUGGAUAUCUCGGCUCUCGCAUCGAUGAAGAACGUAGCAAAAUGCGAUACUUGGUGUGAAUUGCAGAAUCCCGUGAACCAUCGAGUCUUUGAACGCAAGUUGCGCCCCAAGCCUUCUGGCCGAGGGCACGUCUGCCUGGGUGUCA
rnacentral:rRNA from 1 species